UGUGCCAGAGGAGUCCUGUCUGCGAUCACUAAAGGCACUAGUUUCAGGGUUAUU
rnacentral:sRNA from 1 species